GUGGAGAGCUCAAUGAUAGCAUUAGCAUUUCCCCCAUAAGAAAGUAUUGUAUAAUGCUCUCCUACAAGGUUUUGAGUGACGCUGGAUGUCACUCAAAACCCUUUGGAUUAUGCAGCAUGUCACUCAAAGCCCCAUAGUCGGUAACCACCCGAAAGUCCCUCUAGUGACUGUCUGGCAGACAGCCACUCGCGGUAGGGUUAAU